rnacentral:misc_RNA from 1 species
UUUCCGUAGGUGAACCUGCGGAAGGAUCAUUAUUGUAUAAUCGAUGUACGAGGCCUGUCGCUGACCCGAAAGGUCGUGCACGCCCGAGUGCACUCACACACAUCCAUCUCACCCCUAUGUCCACCACCGCGUGGGUCCCCCUUUGGCUGGUUCGGAGGGGGGCUUACGUUUUCACACAAACUUUGUAUGCAGUGUAGAAUGUAUUUUUUGUUUUUGCGAUCACGCAAUCAAUACAACUUUCAACAACGGAUCUCUUGGCUCUC